rnacentral:rRNA from 1 species
UGGGGAAUAUUGCACAAUGGGCGGAAGCCUGAUGCAGCAACGCCGCGUGCGGGAUGACGGCCUUCGGGUUGUAAACCGCUUUCAGCAGGGACGAAGCGUGAGUGACGGUACCUGCAGAAGAAGCACCGGCUAACUACGUGCCAGCAGCCGCGGUGAUACGUAGGGUGCGAGCGUUGUCCGGAUUUAUUGGGCGUAAAGAGCUUGUAGGCGGUUUGUCGCGUCGGGAGUGAAAACUCAGGGCUUAACCCUGAGCCUGCUUCCGAUACGGGCAGACUUGAGGAAGGUAGGGGAGAAUGGAAUUCCUGGUGAAGCGGUGGAAUGCGUAGAUAUCAGGAGGAACACCAGUGGCGAAGGCGGUUCUCUGGACCUUUCCUGACGCUGAGAAGCGAAAGCGUGGGGAGCAAACA